UACGUAGGGGGCUAGCGUUGUCCGGAAUCAUUGGGCGUAAAGGGCGCGUAGGCGGUCGUGACAAGUCACUUGUGAAAUCUCCGGGCUUAACUCGGAACGGUCAAGUGAUACUGUCGGACUAGAGUACAGAAGGGGCAACUGGAAUUCUCGGUGUAGCGGUGAAAUGCGUAGAUAUCGAGAGGAACACCUGCGGCGAAGGCGGGUUGCUGGGCUGAUACUGACGCUGACAGCGCGAAAGCUAGGGGAGCGAACGGG
rnacentral:rRNA from 1 species